rnacentral:pre_miRNA from 1 species
GAUAUAGUCUUAGACCUGUUUUGCAAUUCGACCGCAAUGAGUCGCAAAAGGGCAGCCUGGGCUCUAUU